UACGUAGGGUGCGAGCGUUGUCCGGAAUUAUUGGGCGUAAAGCGCGCGCAGGCGGUCUUCCAAGUCAGUGGUGAAAGCCCGGAGCUCAACUCCGGAACUGCCAUUGAAACUGUUAGACUUGAGGACGAGAGAGGUGAGUGGAAUUCCCGGUGUAGCGGUGGAAUGCGUAGAUAUCGGGAAGAAUACCGGUGGCGAAGGCGUUCCGCUGGCCGUUGCUGACGCUGAGGCGCGACAGCGUGGGGAGCAAACAGG
rnacentral:rRNA from 1 species